CACUGCUUAUUGCUCUUACCAAUUGAAUGGUCUGGCGAAGUGUUUGGAGAGCAACGAUGUGGGCGGUUUGUUGCCAGUGACGUCACGAGAAGUCUAUUGAACCUUAUCAAUUAAAGGAAUGAGAAAUAACAAGGUUUCUAUAGGUGUACUUACGGAAG
rfam:Gossypium arboreum cultivar AKA8401 contig_8626_1, whole genome shotgun sequence.